rnacentral:rRNA from 1 species
GAUGAACGCUGGCGGCGUGCCUAAUACAUGCAAGUCGAGCGAACGGACGAGAAGCUUGCUUCUCUGAUGUUAGCGGCGGACGGGUGAGUAACACGUGGAUAACCUACCUAUAAGACUGGGAUAACUUCGGGAAACCGUAGCUAAUACCGGAUAAUAUUUUGAACCGCAUGGUUCAAUAGUGAAAGACGGUCUUGCUGUCACUUAUAGAUGGAUCCGCGCUGCAUUAGCUAGUUGGUAAGGUAACGGCUUACCAAGGCAACGAUGCAUAGCCGACCUGAGAGGGGGUUCGGCACACCUGAACUUGGGACCCGGUCCGAACUCCUACGGGAGGCAGAGUUAGGGAAUCUUCGGCAAGGGGCGAAAGCCUAACGGAGAAACGCGGCGGGAGUAAUAAAGGCUUUCGAUUCGUAAAACUCUGUAUUUGGGGAAAAAAAUAUGUGAAGGUAACUGUGAACAUCUUGACGGUACCAAAUAAAAAAGCCACGCCUAACUACGU